rnacentral:lncRNA from 1 species
CCUGCUGCACACAGUAGGCAUGCACUAACUGCACACACGGUGGCCGGGGGCACCUAAACCAGCCCCCCACUGUCUUCUCUCUCAGAUCAGGAGUCUCUCUGGGACCCCCUCCAGCUCCCCGGCUGGAUCAAGGAACCCUCGGGCCGCAGAGGGGAUUCUUGCUGCACGGCUGCGCGACACGGUCUGGGCGGCGCAAAGAGAGGCUGAUCGCCGGAGGCCCCCGCAGAGGCGUGAGUGUGGGGGCGGGGUGCUGCGACCUUCCCAGGUGGGAGCCCAGAUCGCACCCUACCACAUCUCCAGCUGAGUUCCCCUGCCGUGGACGUGGACGUGGACGGAAAGCAGGGGUGGGGCCCUGGGGAGGGGGAACAGAACUCCCAUUUCUUCCUCCUCGAGAGGAGGGCCU